UACGAAGGGGGCUAGCGUUGCUCGGAAUCACUGGGCGUAAAGGGCGCGUAGGCGGCGUUUUAAGUCGGGGGUGAAAGCCUGUGGCUCAACCACAGAAUGGCCUCGAUACUGGGACGCUUGAGUAUGGUAGAGGUUGGUGGAACUGCGAGUGUAGAGGUGAAAUUCGUAGAUAUUCGCAAGAACACCGGUGGCGAAGGCGGCCAACUGGACCAUUACUGACGCUGAGGCGCGAAAGCGUGGGGAGCGAACAGG
rnacentral:rRNA from 1 species